GAUGAACGCUGGCGGCGUGCCUAAUACAUGCAAGUCGAGCGAACAGACGAGGAGCUUGCUCCUCUGACGUUAGCGGCGGACGGGUGAGUAACACGUGGAUAACCUACCUAUAAGACUGGGAUAACUUCGGGAAACCGGAGCUAAUACCGGAUAAUAUAUUGAACCGCAUGGUUCAAUAGUGAAAGACGGUUUUGCUGUCACUUAUAGAUGGAUCCGCGCCGCAUUAGCUAGUUGGUAAGGUAACGGCUUACCAAGGCAACGAUGCGUAGCCGACCUGAGAGGGUGGUCGGCCACACUGGAACUGAGACACGGUCCAGACUCCUACGGGAGGCAGCAGUAGGGAAUCUUCCGCAAUGGGCGAAAGCCUGACGGAGCAACGCCGCGUAAGUGAUGAAGGUCUUCGGAUCGUAAAACUCUGUUAUUAGGGAAGAACAAAUGUGUAAGUAACUAUGCACGUCUUGACGGUACCUAAUCAGAAAGCCACGGCUAACUACGUG
rnacentral:rRNA from 1 species